CGACAGGCCCUGUACGAUUUUGAACUGUGAAUCAUGUCAGGCGGGGAACCGAGCAGCAUUAAGCGGAUUUCGAGAUGCGAUGCAGUAAGUCUGCCGUUC
rnacentral:SRP_RNA from 1 species